AUUGAACGCUGGCGGCAUGCCUUACACAUGCAAGUCGAACGGCAGCACGGGAGCAAUCCUGGUGGCGAGUGGCGAACGGGUGAGUAAUAUAUCGGAACGUGCCCAGUAGUGGGGGAUAACUGCUCGAAAGAGCAGCUAAUACCGCAUACGACCUGAGGGUGAAAGGGGGGGAUCGCAAGACCUCUCGCUAUUGGAGCGGCCGAUAUCAGAUUAGCUAGUUGGUGGGGUAAAGGCCUACCAAGACAACGAUCUGUAGUUGGUCUGAGAGGACGACCAGCCACACUGGGACUGAGACACGGCCCAGACUCCUACGGGAGGAAGCAGUGGGGAAGUUUGGACAAUGGGCGCAAGCCUGAUCCAGCAAUGCCGAAUGCAGGAAGAAGGCCUUCGGGUUGUAAAUUGCUUUUGUCAGGGAAGAAAUCCUCUAGGUUAAUACCCUUGGGGGGAUGACGGUACCUGAAGAAUAAGCACCGGCUAACUACGUGCCAGCAGCCGCCGUAAUAC
rnacentral:rRNA from 1 species